rnacentral:rRNA from 1 species
UAGGGAAUCUUCGGCAAUGGACGAAAGUCUGACCGAGCAACGCCGCGUGAGUGAGGAAGGCUUUCGGAUCGUAAAACUCUGUUGGUAGAGAAGAACGUUGGUGAGAGUGGAAAGCUCAUCAAGUGACGGUAACUACCCAGAAAGGGACGGCUAACUACGUGCCAA